rnacentral:tRNA from 1 species
UCACCCUUGGUUUAAGUUUAGAAUUGUAACUUGUCGAGUUAUAGAUGCAAUGUUGUUUUGUAGGGUGAG